CUUGUUCUUGUUCCUCUUCUUCCACUUCUUGUUCUUGUUCUUCUCUGUCUCUCUCCUCUUUUUCAACAUCCUCUUCUGUCUCUGUCUUUUCUUCUCUCUCUCUCUCUCUCUCUCUCUCUCUCUCUCUCUCUCUCUCUCUCUCUCUCUCUCUCUCUCUCUCUCUCUCUCUCUCUCUCAUUAUCAUUAUUAUCCAGAUCUUUCAGUGGUCCAGUGCAACACGAUUGAUUCAUUUACAAACACACUCGGUCACCUUAUCCUUCACCUUAUAAUUCGCUAAAGUAGAAAUGCAAAGUCUUGGUGACCAUUUGCGUUGAUGUAAAUUUACGUAUAGGGUUUGAGAUAGACCCCCUAGUGUGGACCAUGGGAUCUGUGUGGUCUGAAUAUCUGUGUAAAUCAACUUAUGGGACACGUUUCAUAUCUUAUACGUGUUAAAUUUAUACUAUCUUACUUACUUGGGGCGUUCUUACUUAUAGGAGUGAUUUGGUUGAAAGUGAGCUGCAUAUUUUACCAGUUAUGUUUUUUCCUAAACCCGUCUUUUCCCUUCGAUGUCACACAGGAAACGGCUGAGGAGAUUAUGAAAACGUAAAUGAGAAACUGUGUCAAGUGUUAUCUCUUACCAGGGAGUCUAAGGAUGAACGCUGAUGUAAUUCCGUGGUAUUUUCUCUUUUUAAUUAUUUUUAUGGUAUGACGUAAGCUUAUCAAUACGCCAUGGAGGCUUUAUAUACGUAGCGUGGUGUAUCGAAUCUCUUGAAAAAGCUUGGAAUCUCUGAGUUCUUCCUCUGAAACUGUAGUAUGAGAGGUUUAGCUAAUAUGAAUGAAAUGAAAACGACAGAAAAUGUGAUGAUUCUAUUUACUUUAUAUGGGCUGGAGAGAGAGAGAGAGAGAGAGAGAGAGAGAGAGAGAGAGAGAGAGAGAGAGAGAGAGAGAGAGAGACCAUACAUCUAACGUUUCUCUCAUUCUCUUAUCUCCUACGACCUUUUUCUUGUUAUCAUUUCCGCCAUAAUAAAUUAACACCAUAACAAAAACAAUGGACGCUUUCAAUCAAUGCGAGCAGAACAAGUUAUCCCGAAACCUUUGAGUCCUUACCAAAUUAUUACUAUAUUCACGACUUUCAUCUUACUAUCUCUGCUAUUCUUGUUCUUUUAUCAUUUCCACAAUCAUGAAAAAACACCACAACAAAUCAAUGGACACUAUCAAUCAAUGCGAUGGAAAAGUGAUCCCGUAAAAUGGUCUGAUAUCACGCAGUUGUUUGAAGCAUCAGCUGACCGAGGCACACGAGGCGGGCGGGCGAAGGGCUGAGAAAGAAGAAGCUUGCUACUCUUCAUGGCAGGGUUUUGGCCAGAUGCUUGCAGCUUCUCCUCAAAGCGCUGAACAUCCUCUGCAGUCACUCCAGGGAGGCUAAGGAGCACCUGAAUAUGCAGAAUAAAGUUAGACUCAGGAAGGGACGAUUGCUGGAAAGAGGCUGCCAACGAUGCCCAAAUCAACUGAGUUCACUGCAGAAAGAUGAAAAAGAGCACUAUGCUGACUUAACCAGUUCCUGAAGGCCCCGUUGAAGCUGCAGAAAUAAAUAAACAGGGAGAAAACAAGAGCACAAUAUUUACGUCAAUGUACUCCCGGGUCAGCAUGCGGAUGAGCAGGUCUUCCAGCAUCUCCUGCGUGUCUGUGUUUUCCUCUUCGUAGGAGCCACUCUCUAUUAGGCUGCUCAGAUGCCCCCAACGGAUACUCAGUCUCUCCAGCACUGCAAGGGAAGAGAUAUCACACCCCUGCUAAAAACUAACUCAUUCAAAUAAAGUUUGUUUAUACUGAAUGCACAAAGUUUUAAAAAGUAUGUUCAUUAACUUAUAAAGGUCAGUAAGGCCAUAAAACCAAAGACUAUAAGGU